CCUACGGGUGGCAGCAGUGAGGAAUAUUGGUCAAUGGACGAGAGUCUGAACCAGCCAAGUAGCGUGAAGGAUGACUGCCCUAUGGGUUGUAAACUUCUUUUAUAUGGGAAUAAAAUGUUCCACGUGUGGGAUUUUGUAUGUACCAUAUGAAUAAGGAUCGGCUAACUCCGUGCCAGCAGCCGCGGUAAUACGGAGGAUGCGAGCGUUCUCGGAUUUUAUGGGGUUUAAGGGGGGGGAGGGGGGUUUGUUAGUCAGGGGUGAAAGGCCCGGGGCUAAACCCGGCCCCGCCGUUGAAACUGGCGGUCUCGAGUUGGAGAGAAGUAUGCGGAAUGCGCGGUGUAGCGGUGAAAUGCAUAGAUAUCGCGCAGAACUCCGAUUGCGAAGGCAGCAUGCCGGCUCCACACUGACGCUGAGGCACGAAAGCGUGGGUAUCGAACAGGAUUAGAUACCCCAGUAGUC
rnacentral:rRNA from 1 species